rnacentral:tRNA from 1 species
AGGAUUAUAAUUUAAACUUAAAAUAAUUAAUUUGCAAUUAAUAAAUAUUGAAAUUUUUACCAAUUAAUCUUA